rnacentral:rRNA from 1 species
GACGAACGCUGGCGGCGUGCCUAAUACAUGCAAGUAGAACGCACAGUUUAUACCGUAGCUUGCUACACCAUAAACUGUGAGUUGCGAACGGGUGAGUAACGCGUAGGUAACCUGCCUGGUAGCGGGGGAUAACUAUUGGAAACGAUAGCUAAUACCGCAUAAUAUUGAUUAUUGCAUGAUAAUUGAUUGAAAGAUGCUAUUGCAUCACUACCAGAUGGACCUGCGUUGUAUUAGCUAGUAGGGGAGGUAACGGCUCACCUAGGCGACGAUACAUAGCCGACCUGAGAGGGUGAUCGGCCACACUGGGACUGAGACACGGCCCAGACUCCUACGGGAGGCAGCAGUAGGGAAUCUUCGGCAAUGGACGAAAGUCUGACCGAGCAACGCCGCGUGAGUGAAGAAGGUUUUCGGAUCGUAAAGCUCUGUUGUAAGAGAAGAACGGGUGUGAGAGUGGAAAGUUCACACUGUGACGGUAUCUUACCAGAAAGGGACGGCUAACUACGUG